rnacentral:misc_RNA from 1 species
GAGAGAGAGAGAGAGAGAGAACCCUGUUUUGAAUGGGCUUUGCGGGGACUCAAAGCAUCUAUAAAUUUAUUAAAAAAAGGCUCAAGCUGGUGUUGCCCAUGUUUAGCUUAUUGGGUCUAUGGGAAGUGAGUUGCAAAAUCAUUAAGCAUCUACAUAAAGCUUGCAAUUUGUAAUUAGUAGUACUUGAAUAUACACCUAUCAAAAAUUCAAAAUAACUCAUGAUUGCUAAAAAUAAAAAAAUAAAAAGUAAUCAUUUAGUGUCUAUUUAAUAUUGGAUUUGAAAAAUUUAAAUUAUUUUUUUAAAUAA